GAUUGAUGUUCUUGAACAGAAUUUUUUGACAUAUUUGUUUCAGAUUAUGGACAAAAGUAACUUUAAAAUAGCAAGUGAUGAAGAGAUUGAUGUUGCACAUUCCGGGCAGUAUCUACUAAAUCUUCCAAUCAGUGUUGAUGAAUCUAAGCUUGACAAAAAACUUUUAAAGAAGUAUUUUGCAGAGCAUCCUCACGAGAGCCUUCCAGAGUUUGCUGACAAGUACAUAAUCUUCCGUCGCGGCAUUGGAUUUGAUAAGACUACGGAUUACUUUUUCUUGGAAAAAGUGGAUAUGAUUAUUUCACGCAUUUGGGGAUGGAUUUUGAGAAAAACAAGACUAUUUUCGAGGAGAUCAAGUUCACGGCACCAGAAGAAUCUAAAAAAGGAUGAUGGGAUCAAUAGUGAAGCAGAAGAUCAGGACUUAUAUGUUGAACGUAUCCGCAUUGAAAAUAUGGAACUCAGUUUACGUAGUCUGAUGAGCAAGAUAACAAUUCAAGAACCUACUUUUGACAGGAUAAUUGUUGUCUACAGAAGAGCUGGUACCUCAGCAAAAUCAGACCGAGGAAUUUAUGUGAAGCAUUUCAGACACAUUCCAAUGGCUGACCUGGAAAUUGUCCUGCCAGAGAAAAAGAACCCCAGUUUAACUCCAAUGGAUUGGGUCAAA
rnacentral:misc_RNA from 1 species